CGCUUGAAUACAUUAGCAUGGAAUAAUGAAAUAGGACGUUCGAUCCUAUUUUGUUGGUUUCUAGGAUUGACGUAAUGAUUAAUAGGGAUAUUGGGGGCAUUAGUAUUCAAUUGUCAGAGGUGAAAUUCUUUGGAUUUAUUGAAGACUGACUACUGCGAAAGCAUUUUGCCAAGGAUGUUUUCAUUAAUCAAGAACGAAAGUUAGGGGAUCGAAGACGAUCAGAUACCGUCGUAGUCUUAACCAUAAACUAUGCCGACUAGGGGAUCGGAUGAUGUUAAUUUUUUAAUGACUCAUUCGGCGCCUUACG
rnacentral:rRNA from 1 species